GUUCCUUCCCUAAGACAACUGCAAGUAAGUUGCAUAGAGUUUGCUUGUAAAUUGUAAUGUUCUUUUGGGCUAUAGUUCUCAAUAAACACUUGAUAUGCAAGAUCACAUAUGGAAAAUUGGGUUCUAAAGCAAUUAGUUGGUGGGUAUUUUAUUUGAUGAUGUUGCAGAAGCACUUGAAAGAUGGCAUGCUUUGGGAUUUAAGGUGUACAUAUACUCAAGUGGUAAUAGAGAAACACAACAGCUAUUGUUUGCGAAUUCCAAUUAUGGAGACUUGAGAAAGUACUUGUGUGGAUAUUUUGAUACUUCAGUUGGAAACAAGAAAGAAGUACGUGAAGAAUGGGCAUCCCAGAGUGUAGAAGUGGCGGGAAGAACUCUUACACAAAUGAUGAUAUCAAUGAAGUACGUGAAGAAUGGGC